GGGGGGGCGUGCACGGAGCAUGCGCAGAGCAGGGGUUGCGUGCAAAGCGUGCACCGGGGGCGUGCACCGAGCAAGGUUUGCAAGCGCAGUGUGCGCUGGGAGCGUGCACGGAGCAGUUUUGCACCCAGAACACGCACCAAAAGCAUGCACGGAGCAAGGUUUGCACGCACAGAGCACCCUGAGCAUGCACCAAGCAUCUUUGCAUGCAGAACAUGCACUGGGAGCAUGCACCAAGCAAGGUUUGCAUGCAAAUCAUGCACCGGGAGCAUGCACCGAGCACAGUUUGCAAGCGCAGUGUGCGCUGGGAGCGUGCACGGGGCACCUUUGCUUGCAAAUCGUGCACCAAGGGCAUGCACGGAACAGUUUUGCACCCAGAACAUGCACCAAGAGCGUGCGCAGAGCAAGGUUUGCAUGCAGAACGUGCACCAGGGGCAUGCACAGGGCACAGUUUGCAAGCGCAGUGUGCACUGGGAGCAUGCACCAAGCAAGGUUUGCAUGCAAAUCAUGCACCAGGAGCAUGCACGGAGCAGUUUGGCACCCAGAAUAUGCACCGAGAGCAUGCACCGAGCACAGUUUCCAAGCGCAGUGUGCACUGGGAGCAUGCACGGAGCAAGGUUUGCGUGCACAAUGUGCACUGGGAGCAUGCACCAAGCAAGCUUUGCACGCAAGUCGUGCACCGGGAGCGUGCACCGAGCAGUUUUGCACCCAGAACGUGCACCAAGAGCGUGCACGGAGCAAGGUUUGCACGCAAAUCGUGCACCGGGAGUGUGCACCGAGCAGUUUUGCACCCAGAACGUGCACCAAGAGCCUGCACGGAGCAAGGUUUGCACGCACAGAGCACAGUUUGCAACUUUGCACGCACCACGCGUGCCAUGAGCGUGCACGGAGCGCGCUUGCACGCGCCGCACACACGCACGUGGCACUUUUGCACGCACGAGGAGCUUUGCACGUCCCCGUGCACGCGGCACCCGAGGGC
rnacentral:lncRNA from 1 species